AGAAGAGUCCUUCACUGAACUUUUUAACUUGGACUUAGAAACCUGGGUUCUCUUGCUGCUUGUUGAGAUGGAAGUAUGAUAUUGGAAGAUGGGAAUUUUCUUGCUCAGGAACUGGACCUUCUAAACCAGAUUCGGUUGAUGACAACAUGGCGACAAGUGUCAGCUUUCAGCCUCAGUUUCCCCCGCUGAACCACCACGACGUGACUCCUAUUGAUUAAAGAAGUUUCCUGCAAUGACUACUAACAGCAGUACUUGUACUGAGUGAAACAUGGACUGCUUUAUUAUCUAGAAGAGCACUACCUACGUUAUAGUAAUGAAGGAUAUAAAUAUGCCCUACGUGACAGACGCUGUGUAUUGCUACCCAAGAUUGCUACCCGAAGGAAUAAAGUAUGAGGGGUAAUGUGCCCAGACUCAGGUGAUAUGAUUGGCUCAGUUUCAUCAUAAUCUAACAAUUUUGUUCCUUGGUUUACCAGCCUCCCUUGCAGCCAGGAAUAGUCACAAGAUCCAGUCCUGGCCAUGAUAUGUUCAGGGAAAUCUGCUGGUAGACUUUUAGGAUUUUUGUGUACCUGCUAAAAGGAAACAGACACAAGAGGUAUGGCCCCUUUCUUUAGCUUUCUGAUUUGAGUAAGGCAUUUUGUAGUUGACUGAAGCUUCAGAAGCAGUCUUGUGACCAUAAUACCCUAAUUCAACAACCACUGCUUUUCUUAAAUUGCUACAAUAGCCUUUGGAGAUUCCCUACUGCAACACUUUCUCUAUAAUUGUCCUGGGCUCUCACAUUAGGACUAUCAGUAGAAUUCAACCAGAGCUUUCUAACGCUUGUUUUUCUACAGGCAUUAGUACUUGAUUCCUUGAAUUUGUUGGAAAUGAAUGACGCACAUAACUAAUUCUGAUAUAAUGCAGGUUGUUUAAAAAAAAAAAUAAAAAACACCGUUGCUUCCUCACUGAGAAGUCAAUAACAUAUCCAGAAUACGGAACACUCUGGUUUCCUUUUCAUAUUAAACCAGGAAUAGAACUUUAUUGAGAAAGAAACAUCACAUAUUCUUAAAAUAUAUUUAUCUUUCUCACAGUCAGAUCUUGAGAGGGUCUGUAGCAGAACACUCAAAAAGUGAAUUCUCAGAUGAAUAUAUGCAGUCCAGUAUUUCUGAGAUGCUGGUUGAACUGAUCUAAAUGCUUUAAACAACCUAUUAUUUAUUAUAUUCCAGUUAUUUAAAUUCAUGAAAGAUGUUAACUAUAGCCAUGUUCCCUGCCCCAAAGAAUUAAUGCAUAGAC